rnacentral:rRNA from 1 species
CCUACGGGAGGCAGCAGUAGGGAAUAUUGCCCAAUGGGGGAAACCCUGAAGCAGCAACGCCGCGUGGAGGAUGAAGGUUUUCGGAUCGUAAAUUCCUUUUGUUAGAGAAGAUAAUGACGGUAUCUAACGAAUAAGCACCGGCUAACUACGUGCCAGCAGCCGAGGUAAUACGGAGGGUGCAAGCAUUACUCGGAAUCUCUGGGCGUAAAGAGCGCGUAGGAGGGAUAGCAAGUCAGAUGUGAAAUCCUAUGGCUUAACCAUAGAACUGCAUUUGAAACUGUUAUUCUAGAGUAUGGGAGAGGUAGGUGGAAUUCUUGGUGUAGGGGUAAAAUCCGUAGAGAUCGAGAGGAAUACUCAUUGCGAAGGCGACCUGCUAGAACAUAACUGACGCUGAUGCGCGAAAGCGUGGGGAGCAAACAGGAUUAGAUACCCCUGUAGUC